rnacentral:pre_miRNA from 1 species
CAAGGAAGGUGACAGAAGAGAGGGAGCACACAUGGUUCGUUUCUUGCAUGGCCGCUUAUGCUAGAAAUUCUGUGUGCUUUCUCUCUCUCUGUCACCAGUCUUAA